rnacentral:misc_RNA from 1 species
AACAACAUAAACAUCCAUUCAAUCACACAGCAACAAGCUAUAAGCAUGUGCAUGUCAAAACUAUGAAAACUCCGUAAGUAAGAAACUAGACAAGAUGCAGACCACAAACUUCAACUUUACCAAAAACUUCGAUCAAAUUCACAAAGGGGUAUCCUAAAAGCUUCAACUUUACCAGAUUGUGGACAACAUUAACAGAAUUCAAAAACUACAGGUAUAAAUAGAUAAGCAUAAAACCUCAAAAGUGUACACAUUCAUGUUCCCAAGAAAAUAGAAAUCCAAAAUCACAACCAUGCAAUCUCAGAUCCCACAAAUCCCAGUCCACAUUUUAAGAAA